rnacentral:lncRNA from 1 species
UUGUGUAAAGCGCAAGGGGCACAUUAAUGCCCGCCAGGACCGUACGUUACAAUAUACGUAUCUUAUCGAAUACAAAAGAGGCGGAUGUAGAUGAGAGGCAUUUUAGUCAGACGGCUAAAAAUCCGGUCCGAAUCUACAAAAUCGAAAAAGGCGGCCCACUUUUUUAAAAGCGCAAAACUCGUGGAUUUUUCAUGCAAAUUGGCCAAUUUAAAUAGGUUUUAGUAAAAAUUAAAAUAAAAUUGAUGUGACAAGUAAAAUAUUAAUCGUCUUAAAAUAAAAUAGGUAUAAAAUGCAUACUCCUCUUUGUA